UCCAGUAGUAUGUCUACUGCAACGUGCC
rnacentral:sRNA from 1 species